GAUGAACGCUGGCGGCGUGCCUAAUACAUGCAAGUCGAGCGAACGGACGAGAAGCUUGCUUCUCUGAUGUUAGCGGCGGACGGGUGAGUAACACGUGGAUAACCUACCUAUAAGACUGGGAUAACUUCGGGAAACCGGAGCUAAUACCGGAUAAUAUUUUGAACCGCAUGGUUCAAAAGUGAAAGACGGUCUUGCUGUCACUUAUAGAUGGAUCCGCGCUGCAUUAGCUAGUUGGUAAGGUAACGGCUUACCAAGGCAACGAUGCAUAGCCGACCUGAGAGGGUGAUCGGCCACACUGGAACUGAGACACGGUCCAGACUCCUACGGGAGGCAGCAGUAGGGAAUCUUCCGCAAUGGGCGAAAGCCUGACGGAGCAACGCCGCGUGAGUGAUGAAGGUCUUCGGAUCGUNAAACUCUGUUAUUAGGGAAGAACAUAUGUGUAAGUAACUGUGCACAUCUUGACGGUACCUAAUCAGAAAGCCACGGCUAACUACGUGCCAGCAGCCGCGGUAAUACGUNAGUGGCAAGCGUUAUCCGGAAAUUAUGGGCGUAAAGCGCGCGUAGGCGGUUUUUUAGUCUGAUGUGAAAGCCCACGGCUCAACCGUGGAGGGUCAUUGGAAACUGGAAAACUUGAGUGCAGAAGAGGAAAGUGGAAUUCCAUGUGUAGCGGUGAAAUGCGCAGAGAUAUGGAGGAACACCAGUGGCGAAGGCGACUUUCUGGUCUGUAACUGACGCUGAUGUGCGAAAGCGUGGGGAUCAAACAGGAUUAGAUACCCUGGUAGUCCACGCCGUAAACGAUGAGUGCUAAGUGUUAGGGGGUUUCCGCCCCUUAGUGCUGCAGCUAACGCAUUAAGCACUCCGCCUGGGGAGUACGACCGCAAGGUUGAAACUCAAAGGAAUUGACGGGGACCCGCACAAGCGGUGGAGCAUGUGGUUUAAUUCGAAGCAACGCGAAGAACCUUACCAAAUCUUGACAUCCUUUGACAACUCUAGAGAUAGAGCCUUCCUCUUCGGGGGACAAAGUGACAGGUGGUGCAUGGUUGUCGUCAGCUCGUGUCGUGAGAUGUUGGGUUAAGUCCCGCAACGAGCGCAACCCUUAAGCUUAGUUGCCAUCAUUAAGUUGGGCACUCUAAGUUGACUGCCGGUGACAAACCGGAGGAAGGUGGGGAUGACGUCAAAUCAUCAUGCCCCUUAUGAUUUGGGCUACACACGUGCUACAAUGGACAAUACAAAGGGCAGCGAAACCGCGAGGUCAAGCAAAUCCCAUAAAGUUGUUCUCAGUUCGGAUUGUAGUCUGCAACUCGACUACAUGAAGCUGGAAUCGCUAGUAAUCGUAGAUCAGCAUGCUACGGUGAAUACGUUCCCGGGUCU
rnacentral:rRNA from 1 species